CACAAUUUGACAGUUACGCUUCAUUAUAGUAUAUUUAAUUUAUAGAUCAAUAUAUUGCAAUUGAUAUUUUUGUCUGUUUUUUUUUUUGUGAAAUUGAAAUCCAAAUUUGCAUACAGCUGCAUUUUGAUAUCUGUGGGUUACAGUGAUGACUGGCCCGAUUGACAGAACAAUGAAAGAACCAAAAUGAAAAAAAAAAUAUGCUAAUAACAAAUUUGAAAUAUGAUAAUAAGAUUCUCUCAUAAUUUUAUACUUGAGAAAAAAAUAUAAAAGAAAAAAAUAAAUACAUGCUUUUGAAAAAACAUGACCUGACCAAAGCCGACAAUAGAAAUAUUUACACUCAUAUACUAAUUUGACCCCCAUUAUGUAAAACCACACAGGUUCCCGUAAACUUUGACAUCACAAUUCAAAAGAUUUGACGUCAAAAUGUAAUUUGGAGCAGAUCUAAGCUUAAUAAGCUUAAGCAGAUCAGAGCACCUGAGAUCACCC
rnacentral:lncRNA from 1 species